rnacentral:rRNA from 1 species
UUAUGAGAGUUUGAUCCUGGCUCAGGACGAACGCUGGCGGCGUGCCUAAUACAUGCAAGUCGAACGCUUCUUUUUCCACCGGAGCUUGCUCCACCGGAAAAAGAGGAGUGGCGAACGGGUGAGUAACACGUGGGUAACCUGCCCAUCAGAAGGGGAUAACACUUGGAAACAGGUGCUAAUACCGUAUAACAAUCGAAACCGCAUGGUUUUGAUUUGAAAGGCGCUUUCGGGUGUCGCUGAUGGAUGGACCCGCGGUGCAUUAGCUAGUUGGUGAGGUAACGGCUCACCAAGGCCACGAUGCAUAGCCGACCUGAGAGGGUGAUCGGCCACAUUGGGACUGAGACACGGCCCAAACUCCUACGGGAGGCAGCAGUAGGGAAUCUUCGGCAAUGGACGAAAGUCUGACCGAGCAACGCCGCGUGAGUGAAGAAGGUUUUCGGAUCGUAAAACUCUGUUGUUAGAGAAGAACAAGGAUGAGAGUAACUGUUCAUCCCUUGACGGUAUCUAACCAGAAAGCCACGGCUAACUACGUGCCAGCAGCCGCGGUAAUACGUAGGUGGCAAGCGUUGUCCGGAUUUAUUGGGCGUAAAGCGAGCGCAGGCGGUUUCUUAAGUCUGAUGUGAAAGCCCCCGGCUCAACCGGGGAGGGUCAUUGGAAACUGGGAGACUUGAGUGCAGAAGAGGAGAGUGGAAUUCCAUGUGUAGCGGUGAAAUGCGUAGAUAUAUGGAGGAACACCAGUGGCGAAGGCGGCUCUCUGGUCUGUAACUGACGCUGAGGCUCGAAAGCGUGGGGAGCAAACAGGAUUAGAUACCCUGGUAGUCCACGCCGUAAACGAUGAGUGCUAAGUGUUGGAGGGUUUCCGCCCUUCAGUGCUGCAGCUAACGCAUUAAGCACUCCGCCUGGGGAGUACGACCGCAAGGUUGAAACUCAAAGGAAUUGACGGGGGCCCGCGGGCCCGCACAAGCGGUGGAGCAUGUGGUUUAAUUCGAAGCAACGCGAAGAACCUUACCAGGUCUUGACAUCCUUUGACCACUCUAGAGAUAGAGCUUCCCCUUCGGGGGCAAAGUGACAGGUGGUGCAUGGUUGUCGUCAGCUCGUGUCGUGAGAUGUUGGGUUAAGUCCCGCAACGAGCGCAACCCUUAUUGUUAGUUGCCAUCAUUCAGUUGGGCACUCUAGCAAGACUGCCGGUGACAAACCGGAGGAAGGUGGGGAUGACGUCAAAUCAUCAUGCCCCUUAUGACCUGGGCUACACACGUGCUACAAUGGGAAGUACAACGAGUCGCGAAGUCGCGAGGCUAAGCUAAUCUCUUAAAGCUUCUCUCAGUUCGGAUUGCAGGCUGCAACUCGCCUGCAUGAAGCCGGAAUCGCUAGUAAUCGCGGAUCAGCACGCCGCGGUGAAUACGUUCCCGGGCCUUGUACACACCGCCCGUCACACCACGAGAGUUUGUAACACCCGAAGUCGGUGAGGUAACCUUUUGGAGCCAGCCGCCUAAGGUGGGAUAGAUGAUUGGGGUGAAGUCGUAACAAGGUAGCCGUAUCGGAAGGUGCGGCUGGAUCACCUCCUUU